rnacentral:rRNA from 1 species
UACGUAGGGUGCAAGCGUUGUCCGGAAUUAUUGGGCGUAAAGAGCUCGUAGGCGGUCUGUCACGUCGGCUGUGAAAUCCCGAGGCUCAACCUCGGGUCUGCAGUCGAUACGGGCAAACUAGAGUAUUGCAGGGGAGACUGGAAUUCCUGGUGUAGCGGUGAAAUGCGCAGAUAUCAGGAGGAACACCGGUGGCGAAGGCGGGUCUCUGGGCAACAACUGACGCUGAGGCACGAAAGCGUGGGGAGCGAACAGG